rnacentral:rRNA from 1 species
UACGAAGGGGGCUAGCGUUGUUCGGAAUCACUGGGCGUAAAGCGCACGUAGGCGGAUCUUUAAGUCAGGGGUGAAAUCCCGAGGCUCAACCUCGGAACUGCCUUUGAUACUGGGGAUCUCGAGUCCGGGAGAGGUGAGUGGAGCUGCGAGUGUAGAGGUGAAAUUCGUAGAUAUUCGCAAGAACACCAGUGGCGAAGGCGGCUCACUGGUCCGGAACUGACGCUGAGGUGCGAAAGCGUGGGGAGCAAACAGG